UAAGCAUAUCAAUAAGCGGAGGAAAAGAAACCAACAGGGAUUGCCCUAGGUAACGGCGAGUGAAGCGGCAACAGCUCAAAUUUGAAAUCUGGUCCCCCCCGCGGGGGCCCGAGUUGUAAUUUGAAGAGGAUGCUUUUGGCGAGGCGCCUUCCGAGUGCCCUGGAACGGGACGCCACAGAGGGUGAGAGCCCCGUAUGGUUGGACGCCGAGCCUCUGUAAAGCUCCUUCGACGAGUCGAGUAGUUUGGGAAUGCUGCUCAAAAUGGGAGGUAAACCCCUUCUAAAGCUAAAUACUGGCCAGAGACCGAUAGCGCACAAGUAGAGUGAUCGAAAGAUGAAAAGCACUUUGAAAAGAGAGUUAAACAGCACGUGAAAUUGUUGAAAGGGAAGCGCUUGCGACCAGACUCGCGCCCGCCGGAUCAGCCGUCGCUCGUCGGCGGCGCACUCCGGCGGGCUCGGGCCAGCAUCGGUUCGCCCGGGGGGAGAAAGGCGGCGGGAACGUGGCUCUGCGGAGUGUUAUAGCCCGCCGCGUAAUACCCUAGGGCGGACCGAGGACCGCGCGUAUGCAAGGAUGCUGGCGUAAUGGUCGUCAGCGACCCGUCUUGAAACACGGACCAAGGAGUCGUCCUAGUAUGCGAGUGUUCGGGUGUCAAACCCCUGCGCGUAAUGAAAGUGAACGGAGGUGAGAGCUUCGGCGCAUCAUCGACCGAUCCUGAUGUUCUCGGAUGGAUUUGAGUAAGAGCAUACUGGGCCGGACCCGAAAGAAGGUGAACUAUGCCUGUAUAGGGUAAAGCCAGAGGAAACUCUGGUGGAGGCUCGCAGCGGUUCUGACGU
rnacentral:rRNA from 1 species